rnacentral:rRNA from 1 species
UACGUAGGGGGCAAGCGUUGUCCGGAAUCAUUGGGCGUAAAGCGCGCGUAGGCGGCCCGGUAAGUCCGCUGUAAAAGUCAAAGGCUCAACCUUUGAAAGCCGGUGGAUACUGCAGGGCUAGAGUCCGGAAGAGGCGAGUGGAAUUCCUGGUGUAGCGGUGGAAUGCGCAGAUAUCAGGAGGAACACCAAUAGCGAAGGCAGCUCGCUGGGACGGUACUGACGCUAAGGCGCGAAAGCGUGGGGAGCGAACAGG